UGGACAACUGAAAAGAAGGAUGAGCAACGGUGGUGUCAGCAUGGGCUUCAGAAGGAGAGAUGGCUACCAAACCAGGAGGCCUGGGCUCCAGGCCUGCCCCUCACUCUCUGUGUGACCUCAGGUCCAGAACGGCGAAUCUCGGAGAUUUUACAGGGCUUUCCGUGCUGAUGGCCUCCCAGGUGCCACUACCUAUGACUGACUGAAGAAAUAGAGGAACUCACAUUGGCUAAGCAGUUGCCCAGACCGGCUCUGUGCUGGUCACCUCCCAUGAUCUCUGUCCCCAGCCCAUGUGCUUUCAUGAUCCUCUAUACUCAGCCCAGGCUGCCCCUGAGCACGGAGCUCUGCCCCAUCUGUCUCCUCGCCUCUCCACCUGGAUACCUACCGAGACCUCACGUCCAGCCUGUCCACGAUGCAGCUCCAGAGCUUCCCACACCUGCAGUGCAUUGGUGGCCCCCAUCCUUCCAGUCCCUGGGGUGAAACCCCUAGAGCCACCCUUGGCUCUUCCUCUUUUUGUCUCAUGCCCUAAAUGUGCUCCAUCGACAAACCCAGUUGACUCACUCUUCAAAAUUUACCCAGAACCCAGCCAUGCUUUAUCGCCCUCAUGCUCCCCACCAUAACCUUGAUGCAGGCUGUCAGUACCUCGUGCCUGAAUGAUCUGAAUAGCCUCUUGGCUGGUCUCCCUUCUGUUUCUAUCUAUAACCCCCUUCUGUCUUGUUCUCUGUUCCCUUCUACCAAGCCCCGUGUCUCCCUCAGAGCAAAAGCUUCCCCAUGGCCUGACCCCUCGGUCUGUCUGGCCACCAUUCCCUUUGCCCUUAGUCUCUGUGCCUCUCUGCUGUUCCCUAAGGGCCCAAGACCCACCUCUGUCCGGGCCUUCGCACUUGCUGGUCUCUCAGCCUGGAAUGUUCUUCCCCCAGAAAUCUCUUGGCUGGCUUCCUGUAGGCCUUUAUUCAAAACCCACCUUCCUGGGGAGUGGGGAGGCCCUUCCAGCCACUCCAUCUAAAAAUGUCAGCAGCUCCUCUCCCCACACUUCAAGUUCCCCUCCCUGCUCGACGUCUUUCUCCUUAGCGCCUACCACUCACUAUUGUGCGUAAUAUUCUACUGAUUUACCCCGUUUAUCAUCGGCACUCCCUCCCCUGACUGCUGUGUCCCCAGGACCGAGAACAGCACUGGCACAUGGCAGGUGCUCCAUCUAUGUUUCUGGGGCAAAUGAAUGAAUGAAAGAAUGAGUUCUCACAAUAA